GGAAGAUGGUCAGAGAUUACCAAGUUCCUGAAGAGUCUAAGUACUGUGGAAUACCAUGUCAUCUGUUGGGCAUUAGAAGGAUUUCUAUGAAAGUAGAGUCAAGAGAAGCCUUGGAAGGUGGAGGUAGAAAUUGUAACUCUCUUCAAUAAGGACACUUGAGACCUGAUUACCAUGGAUGAAAGCUUACUCACUUUGAUGAAGAAAACUACCAUUCUGAAGCAAUCCACAUGGCAAAGAAUUUAUGGCAGGAUACAGCCAACAACUAGCAAAGAACUGAGUUCUCUCAGUCCAUCAACCCACAAGCAAUGGAACCCUGGCAACAACCAGUCCUGAGUUGGCUUGGAAGCGGAAUUUGCCCCAUUUAAAUCUGAGCAGUCCAAUGGAGCCAAUGCAGAGAGCCCUGAAAGAUGCUGCACAUGCAAUGUUGCAUUACAGGAGAAAAAACAUGAAACAUGAAGAAUUUACCAAUUUAAAGCAAGCAUGAAGCAAGCCUGCUGUUUGUCCCAGAAGAUGACAUUGCCUCAUACCUCAAGCUUGCCUGCUAUAAACACAACCCUGAAAAGUGGCCCAGGAAAAAUGCUGUCAAGGCUUUGUAUUCUUGGCAGACCUAUUCAGACUUACAGAAGUAUGAAAGAUCAUGGAAGACUCUUAACAAAAAUGUAGUUGAGGCUGUUGAAGUAAGCCCCCAUUUGCAAAGCCACACCAUAUAAGACUUUUCUACUUUCAUUCAUUUAGUUUUUGGGAGAUAAAACUUCCCAGGAUUCUCAGUUUUUAGGUAAACAAUCAUCAUUCUGAGACAAUAUUCUCCUCACAUACUGUGAGAAUUAAAUCUGGGGCUAUUUGUCUACUAAAUGGUUCUGAUCUGAAAGGAUAAUAAACUUCUUAUAUUUCCCUCCAGAAGGCCAGUGGUUGCAGCCUGGAGUAGGGCCCUAGGUUAAGCUACAGGGUGUCAAGAGACUAGAGUAUUAUUUCCUCAGCUGUUGACAUUUAGGAAGUAAUAAAGCCCCAGACACACAGGACUGUCUGGCUCUUAGAGACAUUUUUACUUAUAUACUGAAGGAUUGGAGGACUUUUUGAAGAAGACCCUGUCAGGAAGGGAGGGAGAGCUCCCUCCUUCUCCUUUAUAAACAGAGAAAAGGCCUUUUAGUUUGUCUCUCAUCUUAGGAGUUUGUGACUACUCAAGUGGGAAAAAAUCCUAUCAGCUUUUAUUGUGUUGCCUGAAGAUGGGAAAAGAGGAGUCAAUGCAUUUACUAUUUACUAUGAGGUAAUAGGAAAUCUAUCUCUAACCCAGAAUAUAUCCUGGGAGCAUUUAGGAUAAAAUUAAUAAGCAUGAAUAUUAAAAACCAAUAUUAGUUUUCAGCCAAUAUCUAUUGAACAUCUAUUUUAUGCCAGUCCCAGUUUUAAGGCCAAAGACAGACUAGAGCUAAAAGCUCUAACACAUAGGGCUCAUAGCAUAGAAAAAACAUCAAAUGAACAAAAAUUAUACAAUAAAUGCCCUCAUAUAUUCUUACAAAUGCUCCAAAAAUAAAAAUAAACUAUAACUCAGGUUGUUAGAGAGGAGAUUGGGGAAAAUCCAAGUUUGAUUGGUAUUAGACAGGCUUCUCUUAAAAAUUACUUCACAAUAGGGGCGCCUGGGUGGCGUAGUCGGUUAAGCGUCCGACUUCAGCCAGGUCACGAUC